AGAGUUUGAUCAUGGCUCAGAACGAACGCUGGCGGCGUGGAUAAGACAUGCAAGUCGAGCGCUGAUUUUCCUGGUAGCAAUAUUAGGAGAGUCGGAGCGGCGCAAGGGUGCGUAACACGUGGAUCAUCUGCCUGGAAGUUCGGAAUAAUCCCGAGAAAUCGGGACUAAUGCCGGAUGUGGUUGCAAGACUAAAGCUGGGGACCCGCAAGGGCCUGGCGCUUCCAGAUGAGUCCGCGGCCUAUCAGCUAGUUGGCGGGGUAACGGCCCACCAAGGCUAAGACGGGUAGCUGGUCUGAGAGGACGACCAGCCACACUGGAACUGAGACACGGUCCAGACACCUACGGGUGGCAGCAGUCGAGAAUUUUUCUCAAUGGGCGAAAGCCUGAAGGAGCGACGCCGCGUGGGGGAUGAAGGGCUUCGGUCCGUAAACCCCUGUCAUUUGCGAACAAACCUUUACUUUGAACAUUGGUAAAGCUGAUUGUAGCGAAAGAGGAAGGGACGGCUAACUCUGUGCCAGCAGCCGCGGUAAUACAGAGGUCCCAAGCGUUGUUCGGAUUCACUGGGCGUAAAGGGUGCGCAGGUGGGUUGGCAAGUUUGACGUGAAAGCCCCGGGCUUAACCCGGGAAUGGCGUUGAAAACUGCUGAUCUGGAGGAUCGGAGGGGGGACUGGAAUUCUUGGUGUAGCAGUGAAAUGCGUAGAUAUCAAGAGGAACACCAGUGGCGAAGGCGAGUCCCUGGACGAUACCUGACACUGAGGCACGAAAGCCAAGGGAGCAAACAGGAUUAGAUACCCUAGUAGUCC
rnacentral:rRNA from 1 species